GACGUAGGGCGCGAGCGUUGUCCGGAUUUAUUGGGCGUAAAGAGCUCGUAGGCGGUGUGUCGCGUCGGCCGUGAAAACCUGGGGCUCAACCCAGGAACUGCACUCGAAACUGCCUUUCUUGAGUGCCGGAGAGGAAAGCGGAAUACCUGGUGUAGAGGUGAAAUUCGUAGAUAUCAGGUGGAACACCAGUGGCGAAGGCGGCUUUCUGGACGGUAACUGACGCUGAGACGCGAAAGCGUGGGGAGCAAACAGG
rnacentral:rRNA from 1 species